AGAGCAGGAGAUACAGCCAAGGAUGACUUGCCGGUGGCCACUGAUCUGAUAACCUCUCCGAUCACUGGCAUGGUCGUUAUUGCCAUCCCAACCGGCAAGUCUGUCCUUGGCUACACCUUGCUCUCU
rfam:Setaria italica strain Yugu1 chromosome VI, whole genome shotgun sequence.